rnacentral:misc_RNA from 1 species
CGCACCUUGCACCUUUUGGUAUUCCGAAAGGUAUGCCUGUUUGAGUGUCUUAAUACCUCUCACCUCUUGAUGAUUUGAUUAUCGUCUUGAGCGUGGAUUUGGGCGUCUGCCUGGUGAAUAACGGUUGGCUCGCCUUAAAUGUCUUAGUGGGUCAAGCUUUGUGGCUUCAGGCGUAAUAAGUUAUUCGUCUUUAAACCCAAGUUUGCUUGCUUACAACGUUUGCAUUUCGAUGCUAUAUCUUUAUGAUUAGACCUCAAAUCAGGUAGGACUACCCGCUGAACUUAA